UGGAAAGGUCAUACUUCAAUAGGUUGAAAAAAAAUAGUAAUGUGUGUAUGAAUUACUAGUAUAUAAAGUUGGUAAUUAAUUACUAUUAAUAUAGGUGUUAACACUAAAAGACACGCUGGAGUCUAUGUUCACAAAGAAUCUAGCUAACAAUGACAAAAAUAAAAUCAGAAGAUUUCUGAGACCUCAUCAACAACUUAAGGAGUAUAUCACUUUAUUGAUCGGUAAUAAAAUAUAUAUCUUUAGAGAUCAAAUCCAUGCGGGCCUUCAUUUCCCCCUCCCGACUUUCUUCUCCGACAUGAGUCGGUAUUUCCGCAUUCCCCUUUGCCAGUUCAUCCCCAAUUUUAUCCGCAUACUAUGUGAGACCACUAUCUUUUUCUGUCUGUAUGAAAUUCUCUUGACAUGGCUGUUUCAUUGCUUUUUUGUUCCGCAACGACUGAUGACAUUUUUCGUUUUCAACCUCAUCCUAGGACAACCUUUUUUGACAAAAUACCUCUUCAGGGGAGGGAUUGGAAAACUAAGUAUUUUUUUCUUCACUAAACCCUCUCCUAUGCUUGGCUGAUUGGACAUCAAUCACUCCUUCCAGUCGUGCCUGAGCUAGGCAACUUCAGAGCGAUUGGCAGGCCUGAAGUUCGAUAUUUCCGAGUUGCGUUAGGAGGGAAUCUUGUAGAUGUUUGGCCUAAGCUCCCUCCCAGCGGAUACUCUAUCUAGUGGAACUUUGUUUGGCCAAACUUUGUUUUUGAUUUACCCCCUUUUGGUUUUUCCUCUUUUAUAGUGGAUACUCUAUCCAGGGCCUCGGUGUCUGGAUCCCUUCGGAUGAGUAAUUUUGAAAUAAACCUAAGAGGAUGGGCUAUUUUGGCAGGCCCUCUGCCCUUUAUCCUCCCGCUCUGGCAGGUCCACCCAUUCGUCAUCCAGCUCUGAUAGCUCCACAACGUUUAUCGUCCAUUCGUCAUUCCGCUCUGAGAGUUCCACAAGGUCCCCUGCCUAUUUGUCAUUCCGCUCCGAGAGCUCCACAAGGUCCCUCAUCCAUCCGCCAUUCUAUCCUAAUAGCUCCGCAGGGUCCCCUACCCAUUCGUCAUCCUGCUUCAGCGUCGUCUGUUUCAAAUGAACCGCUGACUUUCGCCGUAAAAGACCUCAGUCGCCUAUCGAGGCUGCCCCAGUUUCGACUCGACUCGAGCAGAGACCCUCGCCCGUCCCUCCAGUCCCUCAAACAACUCCGACUGAGAUAGGUCGCCCUGCUGUUGUUGAGCAAAUUGGGAUCGAGUGGGAAUCUAUACCUUCAACCUUCAUUCGGUGGAAAGCCCCGAUAAAGAUAGCAAAGUCUAUUCUGAGGGGCCACCUCCUCAACAAAUUGGCCCUUUCGUCCUCAUCUAGCUAGGCCUAUCCUCGUCUAGCCAGGCCACCUCCUUUAAUUGGUGGCAAAAGGCGAAUACGCUCACCCCCAGCACCCCCGCCAACCCGUCCCAGGGCCAACACGGAGGAGGUAAAUCACGGGCGGCUACUAGCCUUUGGAAUAGUGACUAGCACAUAAGGGAAGCAUUUACCUCGACUUUGCCUAAAUUCGAACCCGAGACAUCAUUGGUGGCAACACCUCAUGUGCUAACCACUAGACCCAUCCGAGAGGACAGAAUUAAAGGGUUUAAUGAUAGAUGCUUGGAUAACUCUAUAAAACAAAUAAACGUCAGCUCGGUACCCGAUUGGGUAGAUGUGUUCGCUCAGGAUGCCUCCAUGGUAAGCCCAUGAUUUUUCUAUUUCGGCAGGUGGGGUUGGUGUGAUUCUAACUAUUUCUUUUAUUAGUUCUUUGCUUUCGGGCUAAACCUAAGCUAGCUAGCGAUGGAUUCGUAUCGUCAAAACAAAAUUCUGAAGGAUCGUAUAGCAAAACUAGAAUCUCAUUCCUCUAAUGCAAUUCUGAGGUGCAUCGACUAUAGCUGGAGACAGAGACUUUGACGAAACUAACUGUUGGGAAGGAGAAAGCUUUAGGGGAAGCUAUGCAGGCUGCGGAUCUCCAUUGGGUAAACAAAGAAAAGCUUGAAGCGCUCUUGUAGGCUACUGAGUCUAAAUGUCGAGCGAAGACUGCAUGAAGGAAAAAACUACAAUGGACUUAGUGCAGAGGACUAAUGCGUUGGACAACCUAAAAAAGUCAUAUGCUUCUCAGGUAGCUCGCCUAACUAAGGAGCUCGGGGCCAAGGAUAUGGAAUAAUAUGUUAGCAAAGGGACCUGGACUCCUGGGCUACCGAGUUAGAAUCCUUGAAGCCGAACUGGAACAAACCAAGUUCAAGCCAUCAACCUCGAAGGCCGACUUGGAGACUUAUCAAGCGGGUGAAAAUGGGCGUUUAGCGGCUAGGCUGGCGAACUACCUUUGUUCUCCUUAAUUCGGGCGGCAAUUUGGCGAUCGCAUUACCUAACACUCUCCUAUGGAGCAAUUUGUCAACUACGUGAGGAGGGAUAUUUGACAAACCCACCCCCACAUAGAAUUAUAGAAGAAAUGCUCGAGGACAUUUUCUCUGAAUAUAAUUAUAUUAUUAUUAACUCAUUAAUUAUUUAUCAAUGAAAGAUAUGUUUGUUACAGGAUUCUUCACCGACAAUUUUGUGUUAUCAAUCAUUUUACAUUUCAUCUUAGCUCAACUCAACUACUUAAUUUUAAUAUGCAUCCUAAUGAUUACAUCGAAAGAAUUUAUCCGAUCUUUUGGUAUAAUUCUCUAUGUAUUAAUUCUUAUCUCAAUUGUUUGAUAUCACUUUCAGUGAGUUGUUCUUCGACACUUUUUGGAAUAUUCUCUAUGUAUUUCAUUCCAUGCAGUGUAUUUGCUUUGAUUAGUUUGCACAUAUUCUUCUAUGGAUGCAAUCUAUUGGCAUGACACUGUAACAGAAUCAAUCAUAACUACAUUUUGAACUUGUCGCCUAAUUCGACUCUUGAGCACCGUGAUGCUUUCCUCAUCAGCACUUUCCUUUUGAUGGUCGACUCUAUCGACCUCCUCGCUCUUCUCCUCCUUCUGUUUGCCGGUAGAAGCAAGUAUAUUGAUGUUAUUCCAAGAGUCUUGCUUGUACAAGCAAAUAUAUUGACUCUAUUCCAAGAGUCCUCGUCCUGGUAUGUUUGUGUAUAGAUAUCAUUUCAAUUUUUUUUUAUUUUUAAAUAUUAUGAAUUAAUAAACAUGUGCAGAUGCUUAUUGUGUUGCUUAUCUUCCCAUCAAACAUAUUCUAUAGCUGAACACGCUCCUACUUUCGUCGGACGAUGUUCAACAUUAUGUUUUCGCUGAUAUCCAUGGUAACUAUAUAUAGAUUAACUACUUACUAUCAAUAAAUUGUUUAAAAAAUUACUUAGUUAUUAUUUUUUAUUAAUUUAUUAAUUGUAGGAAAUGUCGAUGGUUGAAAUUUUAAUGAUGGACCACGAGUCAAGUAAAUUUUAUAUAUAUUUAUUACAAAACUAAUUAGCUAUUGAAAUGAGUUUAACUUCGUUUAAUUAUAGUUAAGCAACUAUGUUAUGCAUGCAAAUUUUAUUAAUGAGACAUAUAAUAUGGUAUUGCAUGGUUUUUUAGAUUUGAAAAUGUUGUGUAUUCUUCUAAGAUUAGCAUUCGAACCAAACAGUACAAGAAUAAUGCAUACUAUAUAUUUUUUCCUGUUUCGUUUGGUGCAGGUAUAUUUCAUCUGUUGAAAAAAUAUUUAUUACUAAUUAAUUCAAUUACUUAAUUAAAUUUUAUUAAUGAAGUGUUAGUGUUGAAUUGUUAAACCAUUCAACAAAAUUGAUGUUACAAACACUGGAAAGUUUUUAUUUACGUUGUUGGCAGUCUUACUAUCGUGGAAGUACAUGACGUAUAAGACGCUGACAUUGCUUAUAUUUGUCAUACUCACAUCCAGUAGUAUCACUGUCUACCAACUCUACUGGGACUUUGUCAUGGAUUGGGUCUCCUUACUUCCAAUCCCUGAACCGCUUUCUCAUAGACAAACUCAUAUUGAAAAGAAAAUUAUAUUACUACACAUCCAUGGUAAGUAGAUUAGUAGUAUAGUUAAGUGAUCGACUAUAUAUUCAUAUUAUAUAUAAAUGUUACCGGGCUUGAACCUUAUACUUCAGUUUACAUCGAUCGUGAAUUUGAUGCCGUUGGAAUUAAGUCAAGCAGAGAACCAAAUUAUUAGUUUUCUACUUGCUUCCUUGGAAAUAAUUCGACAAGCAGAUUGGAAUUUCUACGUGUAUAUAUGCUUAAUGAAUUUAAUAACUAAAUACAUUUUGAUAUUAUUAUAGUGAUUGGUGUGUAAUCAUAUUUACAUGUAAAUGUACAGAAUAGAGAAUGUGCAUUUCCAAUCACAGAGCACUGAGGUUUGUUUUCCAUAUUUUUGACUUUUUUUGAAUCUUUUUCUUCAUCUUAUAAAUCCUAGCUUAUUGUUAGAAAUCUAUGUACAAAUUUUCAUUCUUCCUAUCAGACAUGCAAUUCCGAUAUGGCAUGUAGAUUUAGACAUGCAAUUUCGAUGGUUGAGUUUUUCUUUAAUUAUUCAACACUAAAUUUUAAAAGUUGGACAACUGCUAGCAUUUAAGUAGGUCCUUGUGAAUGUGAUCUAUGUUCCUUGUGUAUUUUUUCCUCAAAAUUUGAAGAGGCUUAAGAUAUUCCUUGAUUUUUUUUCUUUCUAUAAUUUAUUGUAAUACUUACAAUAGGAAGAUAUUUUUUUAAUUAGGUGGUGAUUUAAUGCUGAAAAAAUGUUUGUUGGUAUAUUGGAACAACUUCCAAAUAAAUUGUAUUCUUAUAGGCCAAUACUUCUAAGAGCACUAUAGUACUUAAUUCUAAGGGCACUACAGCUUAAGAUGCAAAAGGUUUUCUCUAACUGAUAUGUUAAUUUAGCAUUUUUUUUCAUGGGCAUCAAUUUUUUUCUCAUAAAUGAGGUACUGUCUUAGUUUUUUGUUUUUUCAUGGCUACAAAUGAACUGAGGACGGAGGGGGAAACUAUACAAAGGAUGGUACUAUCUUCCUUUUGGAUGACACCGUUAGGAUCAACAUUGAAACAGAGGUGGACAGAGACAAAUGACUAAUCUCUUAGGAGAAGUGUCUUACCAACUGAAGCCACCGCCACCUUGAUGUUGUUUUUCUUAAUUGCUGAAUGCUGAUGCAGGAAUAAUUAGGUUGCGGUUAGUUACCUCACAGGUCAUUUCCAAAUUCCAAUGGCCCAGUCAAUCGCUACCGGCACCACUGUGCCUGUCAUUAUUUUGUUUGUUGUUCAUUUGCAUCAAUUGGUUGGUGGUGAUCUAAGAUGUUAAUUUGGAACUGGAGCCACUUGGUCUCUACCAAGGAGCUAGCUGAUGAGAGUGAGCGAACCUGUUGCUGACAUCUGAGAAUGUUUAUGGAUCAUUGAUUCUUAUUCUCCAGUACGAGUAAGUAGCAUUGAUGUUGUAAUCACUAAUUUGGAUCA